rnacentral:ncRNA from 1 species
ACACGCGAUGCGGGAGAGCUCGGUUCGCCGAGCACCGAAGGAGCAAGCCUCCCCGCCAAUCUCUCAGGUUCUGUACCGCAUCGAACUG